rnacentral:rRNA from 1 species
CUGCUGCCUCCCGUAGGAGUCUGGGCCGUGUCUCAGUCCCAAUGUGGCCGGCCAACCUCUCAGUCCGGCUACUGAUCGUCGCCUUGGUGGGCCGUUGCCCCACCAACUAGCUAAUCAGACGCGAGUCCAUCUCAGAGCGAUAAAUCUUUGAUGUCCAGAGCCAUGCGGUUCAGACAUAUUAUGCGGUAUUAGCAGCUGUUUCCAGCUGUUACUUCCCCACUCCAAGGCAGGUU